UCUGGUCGGCUCAAUUGAGUUGAGACGACCGUUUGUUGAUUUUGCACACAGUCCCAGUUUGGUUCAAUUCUGUGAUUAAAUCUAGAACUUUGCUGGGCUUCAAACUCCAUACAUCGGCAGCUUUCAUAAACCCACUUCCAAGAAUGGCUAAUCCCAAAUCUGAAUUUCAAAAAAUAUUCCUGAACAGCCGCUGAGCCAACCACAGAUAAAACUGACUACGGCAAGCCAAACGAUUCUUCAUCCAAAAGACUUGUUCGUACGAAUUUUGGUGGUUUCAGUAUCAGGACUAUGUCGAUGAGUGUGAAUGAGAAUGAGAACCGUCCUCAGAUAUUUUAAGAAGUAAACCAAAUCGAAUAACUCAUAAAAAAAGACAAAGCAAAAAUAA